rnacentral:rRNA from 1 species
CACGUAGGGUGCGAGCGUUGUCCGGAUUUAUUGGGCGUAAAGAGCUCGUAGGCGGCUUGUUGCGUCAGCUGUGAAAACCCGCAGCUCAACUGUGGGCUUGCAGCUGAUACGGGCAGGCUUGAGUUCGGUAGGGGAGACUGGAAUUCCCGGUGUAGUGGUGAAAUGCGUAGAUAUCGGGAGGAACACCAGUGGCGAAGGCGACUACCUGGCCUGUUCUUGACGCUGAGGCGCGAAAGCUAGGGGAGCAAACGGG